rnacentral:rRNA from 1 species
GAGGAAGUAAAAGUCGUAACAAGGUUUCCGUAGGUGAACCUGCGGAAGGAUCAUUAGUGAAUAAAAUUGGGGUCUUGGUUGAUGCUGACUUCUUUUUUGAGGUAGGGCCACGCUUGCCCACCAUUUUUAUUUUAACCCCCACUGGUCCACUUUUGUUAGACUUGGAUUGGAAUUUUUGGGGCGGUUAAUUGGGUUUUGGGGAACGUGCCAAUGGGGGUGGCUGUUUUGGUAUUUAUUCAAUUUUAGGAUUUUACUUUUUCCCCCUUAAAGUUAUUGGAAUGUGUUAUUUAUUAUUGCCCUUUUUUUUUGUGCCUUUAAUCUUUAUACAACUUUCAACAACGGAUCUCUUGGCUCUCGCAUCGAUGAAGAACGCAGCGAAAUGCGAUAAGUAAUGUGAAUUGCAGAAUUCAGUGAAUCAUCGAAUCUUUGAACGCACCUUGCGCUCCUUGGUAUUCCGAGGAGCAUGCCUGUUUGAGUGUCAUUUAAUUACUCAACCUUUCUUCAGUUUUUAGAAGUUAGGUUUGGAUUGUGGGAAUUGCAGGCUUUUUUGUAGUCAGCUUUCCUUAAAAAUGUUAGUAAAGCCAGGCCCUUUGUUUGACUCAUUACUUGGUGUGAUAAGUUAUCUACGCCAUGAAAGUCUUUCAAUGUGGUUGUUCUCUUUUAGAGCUUUGCUUCUAACUGUCCAUUUAGGACAACUCUCUAUUUAAAUUGACCUCA